GUAGGAGCGAGCUUGCUCGCGAAAGAUCUUUCAGGCCCCAGCCGAUCGGUAGCCUGGACUAUUUAUCGCGAGCAAGCUCGCUCCUAC
rnacentral:misc_RNA from 1 species